rnacentral:piRNA from 1 species
UUAAUUCUACGGGGCCAAACUUGGGACAGU